AUUGAACGCUGGCGGCAUGCCUUACACGUGCAAGUCGAACGGCAGCACGGGGCAACCUGGUGGCGAGUGGCGAACGGGUGAGUAAUGCAUCGGAACGUGCCAUUGAGAGGGGGAUAACGUAGCGAAAGUUGCGCUAAUACCGCAUAUUCUGUGAGCAGGAAAGCAGGGGACCGCAAGGCCUUGCGCUCUUUGAGCGGCCGAUGUCAGAUUAGCUAGUUGGUGAGGUAACGGCUUACCAAGGCGACGAUCUGUAGCGGGUCUGAGAGGAUGAUCCGCCACACUGGAACUGAGACACGGUCCAGACUCCUACGGGAGGCAGCAGUGGGGAAUUUUGGACAAUGGGCGCAAGCCUGAUCCAGCCAUGCCGCGUGAGUGAAGAAGGCCUUCGG
rnacentral:rRNA from 1 species